CCUCUCCGUGUCUUGGCAGUAACUGCACUGUUCGUCGCAUAUUAACUGCUUGUCUGCUCUAGUUUCUGGCUCUGCUUGGCUCAGUCUCCGUUGACCUCAGCUCUAACUUGGACCUGCUGCGCGCCACAAAGGCGGCUUUCGACGAGCUGACUUCACGUAGGACCACGGCUAUUCUCCAACUCAUAGGUGAACUCCAAAACACAAGAAGUCUAUGCACAUGGUACAGGAGUAAGGAGACAAGUCAAGACCACUGACCAACAUUUUACCUGUGAUUAUGAGGUUGAGACGAUAGACGAUGCCUACAUGGUGGUGAGGGGCCUGCCUGAGAGGAACGGGGACAAGCACGCUGACGAGAGCCAAAAUGUUGCUGGACUUGGUGCCAGCCGUCAGAUAGGUGGCCAUACCCCACAGCUUUGCACAGGAAUACACACAGGUCCAUGUGUGGCAGGUAUUGUCAGCUACAAGAUGCCCAGAUACGGCCUGUUUGGAGAUACUGUCAACACACCUCCAGAAUGGAGUCCACCAGCCUGCGUAGGUAUACACACACACACACAUACAGUACAGUAUGCAGGCACCUGUUCCCAAUGCUGUGUGUGUGUCUGUGUCAGCGUCAGCUCAGAGGAUCCACGCCAGCUCAGCCACCUACCUGGCCCUGAUGAAGGACUGCGUCUACGAGCUCCAUCUGAGAGGAGGGACCGAG